rnacentral:rRNA from 1 species
GACGAACGCUGGCGGCGUGCUUAACACAUGCAAGUCGAACGGAAAGGCCCUGCUUUUGUGGGGUGCUCGAGUGGCGAACGGGUGAGUAACACGUGAGUAACCUGCCCUUGACUUUGGGAUAACUUCAGGAAACUGGGGCUAAUACCGGAUAGGAGCUCCUGCUGCAUGGUGGGGGUUGGAAAGUUUCGGCGGUUGGGGAUGGACUCGCGGCUUAUCAGCUUGUUGGUGGGGUAGUGGCUUACCAAGGCUUUGACGGGUAGCCGGCCUGAGAGGGUGACCGGCCAAAUUGGGACUGAGAUACGGCCCAGACUCCUACGGGAGGCAGCAGUGGGGAAUUAUGGACAAUGGGCGGAAGCCUGAUGCAGCAACGCCGCGUGCGGGAUGACGGCCUUCGGGUUGUAAACCGCUUUCGCCUGUGACGAAGCGUGAGUGACGGUAAUGGGUAAAGAAGCACCGGCUAACUACGUG